AUGGAUACGUCUACAGGAACAUUCAGAGGAGCUAGCUCACAGCGCCGUCUAACGUCCGUAGAUGGGAGGCUAAGAGCCAACUUCGGAACAAAGCUAUGUAAAAGACUUAGGGGUCACGGAGCCAAAGAGACCCCACUGGAGCACACAGUUGACGCAGUUAUGUGCUCCACAGCUUGGAUCUGUAUUGGAAGCACCAUUGGACACUCCUCAGACAUCACAACCGGACUUCUCAGCUGUAGACACCUCUGUAUCAUUUUCAAACUUCUUGCUGUUAUGGUGAAUCUAUAAAGAACUUAGCAAGCUCAACACCCAAAGAACAAAUAAUCCAAUCAAGAAAUGGGCAGAAGACAUGAACAGACAUUUCUGCAAAGAAGACAUCCAGAUGGCCAACAGACACAUGAAAAAGUGCUCCAUAUCACUCGGCAUCAGGGAAAUACAAAUCAAAACCGCAAUGAGAUAUCACCUCACACCAGUCAGAAUGGCUAAAAUCAACAAAAUUACUUAUCUGUUUAAUGAAGGGUUUUUUUCCCUGAGAUUUUAUCCUUUUAUUUAAUGAGAAACAGAUUCCUUUAUCACUUCAUUUUGUCUCUCUCUGUUUCUAUGUAUUCAAUAAAAUUGCCACCUCUCUCAGGCUUUGAGUAACCUGAAUUGGUGGUAAGCCUUUUUGUACAAUGUAUCCUAGUUCUUUGUUAUAUAUUUAACCUUUAUGACUGUGAAAGCUGUGUACUUUACUUGUAAUAGCUGCCAAUUGUUAAGAGUGUGCAAGAACUGGGGUGUCUGGGUGGCUCAGUGGGUUAAGCCUCUGCCCUUGGCUAAAGUCAUGAUCUCAGGGUCCUGGAAUUGAGCCCCACAUCAGGCUCUCUGCUCAGCAGGGAGCCUGUUUCCCUCUCUCUCUCUGCCUGCCUCUCUGCCUACUUGUGAUCUCUCUCUGC
rnacentral:lncRNA from 1 species